CCCUUGGAGUGUUAUAAAAACUUGAGUAGCUUAUAUAAAGUGAAAAAGAACACGUUGAAUAGGGAA
rnacentral:sRNA from 12 species